AUGCACACCGCUAGUGGUCAAGGUAUGAACAUUGCUCAUGUCGGUCAUUCAGUUCUAUCCACUCCUCAUGGUUCCUUAGAUCUAAACAACAUACUUCAUUCUCCUCAAGCCAACAAAAGUUUACUUUCUGCCUACCAACUUAUCAAAGCUAAUCAUGCUUUCCUUGAGGAUUACCCUGAAACUUUUUUUGUUAAGGAUCGGGCCACUCGGAGGAUCAUUCUUCGAAAUAAUAGUAGGGGUAGUUUGUUUCACGUUUCUGGUCGCCAAGAUGCUCCUCAUCAACAGGUCCUUAGCAUGGUAAAACCAUCCACUUCACGAUGGCAUAAGCGCUUAGGACAUCCUGCAUUAGCGGUGGUCUAG
rnacentral:rRNA from 1 species